UGCCGUAUUUAUGUGAUGUCACAGGUCGUAGUUGAAAUCGUCACAAACAGGAACAACAUGGAGUCGGAAGAAAGAAUUGUCUCGAACGCGACUAAAAAAGGGGGAAAAUACGCCAAGCUGCUGUGUGAAGAAGAAGAAGCAAGGAGGAGAGAAGCGAUCCGGGAGACGUUGAGGGAAAGACAGGAAUUGGAGAAGAAAGCCUUGCAAGUGGUGGAGCGUCUGCUCGAGGACAGCGUGUGUGAGGACUUCUUGAUUGACUGUGCCAAGUUUAUCACCAGUGCUUAUUACAGAGAUGCUGUGGAGGAAAGAUUCAUCACCAAAUUGUGUGGUUAUCCUUUAUGUUCCAAUAAACUGGGAAAGAUCCCAAAGCAACAGUACAAAAUCUCGACGAAGACUAAUAGGGUGUAUGACAUCACAGAGCGCAAGUGUUUUUGCAGUAACUUUUGCUAUAAAGCAUCCAAAGAAUUUGAGCUGCAGAUAUCAAAGGCACCACUUUGGCUCAGGCAGGAUGAGCGACGCCCAGAAAUCAAGCUGAGGAAGAAAGUAGACAUCGGAAGUUCUGGUGAGGAGGUAUGUCUGACAGCCAAGUGCCUCCAGGAGGAGGAUAUUGAACAACCGCUGAGCAUUCAGCGUGAGGACCGUCAGGAGCGUUGCUUCACAGCCGGCUGCGAAGACGACGACGACGACUACAGCAGCGAUGACGAACGGGAGCAGGACUUCAUUUCCAGCGUGGUCUCCCGGGAACGCAGAUCCAGGGUGCACUGGGGUGAGAGAGUUGGACGGAGGGAGGCAAGGUGUGAACAAAAGCGGAGAGCAGUAAAGGAAGACACAAUGAGACGGGAUGAGUCUUUUGAGACCAACCGUGAAGAAUCGCGCGAGGAAGCCAAAGUGGAAGAGGUGAUGGGCCAACUGAUAUCAUGCAGCCUCCACACGGCAUCGCCAAUUCCAGACUCUCCCAUGACUGAAUCAACUCACUCGAGAGAAACCGGGUCACCGCAGGGUCGCUCUCCUUCCGAGUUAAGCUCAGACAGUCGGCCGAGCCUCAACAUCAUCCAGGUGGGGGUGAGCAAGCGAGGGGUGACGGGAUUACGGGGUCUUCUCAAGAACCACACCCCCGAAGCAAAACACAACCCGAUUGGACACAGUCUCCUUGAAUCCGUGAGAGCGACUCUGAAUGAAUGGUUCACAGAUGAGAGCCUUAAAUUCCUGCACGGCGCUGACCGUACGCUUGGCUCUCCCUCUACAUACCUAAACGAAGAGGAGGAGGAAGACGAAGAACUGGAUGAAGAUGACCUUGAGGAUGAUGUGACCGAGGGCAGUGGAGGAGCAGAGCGGAGAGCCACAGCGGCGGUUCCAGACUAUGAGGCUCUCAAAAGGGAAACCCAGCAGAUGGUGCUGAAAGUCAGAGAGUUUUACAAAGGCACCUGGAUUAUGCCUGAGGAACCACAAAAGGUGAAUGGAAACGAGGACCAGAGCACAAGUGACUCUCCGGCUCUGCCACUGGUUGACUCCAAAGCUCAGCACCUCAUCCAGAAGCGAAUCGCAGUGGAGAAGCUCGCCAGCUGUCUUAGAAACAUUGUGGGUCCGCUGAGGCUCACCCUGAGUGACAUCACCAGUGACCUCAACAACCUGGUCAGGACAUUCAGGUUUACCAACACCAACAUCAUCCACAAACCUCCAGAGUGGACCCUCAUCGCCGUAGCGCUUCUCCAUCUGUUGUCGUAUGUGUCUCCAGUGGUUGCCGAAGCCUUGAAGACGCCGUCGUCAAUCUCGUACGUAAACACCCUGAUGGAGGAACUGGGCCUACAGCAGCAAGACCUCUUGAACCUGCUCCAGGCAUUUAAACCCCCACCGCACUGACGGACUCAUUCCAAUUCAGGGAAUGGCCACUUACUGUAAUCAUGGGUUCUGUAAUUGAACCAAAUAAAGGUCCACUUUUCUCUGGAAACCUUUGCCGCAGAGGUCGCAAGCGAAAGGCUUGAAUCCCGUGUGUUUCCGGCUGUGCGUGAUCAGGUUGGAGCUCUGGCUGAAGGCCUUGCCGCACACUUGGCACUUGUGCGGUUUCUCGC